rnacentral:lncRNA from 1 species
CCAUUUACAGUAGUAUGUUUCUUUAGACUACAAUUCCUCCAGAGUAAAGCUUCCGUGAGAGAACCUGUUUAAUAAGGAGAUCAAGACAUGAUAUCCUUUUAUGAUCGAACCUUAAUCUUAACAACUGAAACUUAUAUGAGCAUGAAUAUCCAAUUCUCAAAAGAAUGUAAAAGAUACAGAAGCGUUCGAACAGGGAGUUUUUAGGUGCUUGUAAAACAUUUCUAAAACCAACACAACCAUCUUUUAGAGUAGUUGGCCAUCACAGGUGCAGAUCAAGGGAUCGAAACCUUGACUUGCAUUCAUCUCUAGGAUUUCCUGAAAGUUUUACAAGCGGCUGUAUUGAUCCGUAGAAGUAGAAUAGAAAAGUUACCCUGUCCACAAAAACAAAAGUGUUUUAUUUUAUGAGUUUCUUGGAUAUUUUCAAAGCCCACCUCCUUCCCUCGUCCCCUCCGCCUUCGCCACCCGGGAGGCCACCUGCACCCCACUUUUCCGUCCGUUACCUCCACCCCACCGCACCCCUUCCCCGUAUUGCAGCAACUUACAGGCCCCAUCACUCUGUGACUGUGUUUUUUGGGUGGUGUAGGCACCAUAGCGAGCCAAGAGCUGAUGGAGAAGAACAACAAUUGGCUUUCUGAGAUGCCCUUUUUGAGAUUUGAUUUCAGAGCCUCUGUGAAUUUGACAGCUUUUCUGAGACCUUAGCAAUCAAGAAAAAUGGAUAGACUACCAAGUAAUAGUACUGAUAGCACAUCUUUCCCCUGCUGAGGUCUCGGCUGAUUGCGCCGUCAUUGGAGGAUCUGUGGUUUAGGGAUUUGUCCUGGAUCUCUUUUACAUUUAUACAGACCUCUUUAAAAAAAAACAAAUAAAUGGUUAAUUGC